rfam:Asian citrus Psyllid, Diaphorina citri - Florida Strain, whole genome shotgun sequence.
GGUGAUAAUGGUAGCACGUUAAAUAAACCUGUUCCCCAUUGAUCACUGAAGUUAAGCACCGUUGCGCGCGGUUAGUAUACGGAUGCGGGACCAUCUGGGCAGUCGUGUGCUUCUGACUC